rnacentral:lncRNA from 10 species
AGGCAGGCGAGCGCUUCGGAGCGGACUCGUUUUUUUCCGCCAGUCUUGGCGGAAGCCUGAGACGCAAUAGAUGGAGACUCUCCUUUUCGCCUUGGCGUACUCUUUUUUUUUUUUUCCUCCCUGGAGCUGGUCUUGUGGGGCAGCCCUAAAAUGUAUCUCCAAGUGACCCUGCACUCAUCACUUGCUGCCUUGGACUUAGUUUCCUCAUUCGUAGAAUGGAGACACCACACUUUCUGAAGUGCUUAUGAGACUUGCAGGAGGCCUAGGACCUAGGAGCACAUGAUGGGACGCGGUCAACAAAACAUUCAGAAUGAGCAAAUCAAUAUGGAACGUGUUGUCUGGCUUUUCUUGGCAGCAUGGGUUCUUUGAAGAGUUUUAAAGAGAAUUCACAAUUACUGAAUAUUACAUAAUUUGAAGAUGAGUAAACUGCUUUCAUCACUGCUCUGGCAAUAAAAUCUGGAAAUCUGGAGAACUCUAGCUUCUAAAAACUAUCUUAUGAUCCAAUUCAGAAUGUGUAGUUCUGCACACAUCGUACAUUUCUUUUUCCUAAGCCAAAUGAUCAUCAAUUCAUCUAAAACCAUUGUCAGGAGGCCCUAUGCUAUGCAAGACUAAUUGUGAGUGUGACUGUAUGCAAAAACAAACAAACAAACAAGGGAAAAAAAGCUUGUUAAAAAGGGAAUUCUUUACUCAAGAGGCAGGAAAAAAAUACCUCCUGACUAGGGAAAGCACAUAUUGAUAGUUCCAGCAGCAACAAACCUGGAGAUCUCUGUCAUUUCUGUUCAAGUGCAUGAAAAGCAAGGCAGCAAAAGCUGUUGGUGCUGUGAGCAUAGAAGGCUAAGGACAUACUUCCCAGCAACUUGCUCGGACUGGACGGUGACUGGAGCUGAUUCCUGAGAUGGGAGUGUGAGCUUGGCAGGCUUUGACAUGGAGCCAGGCCAAAGUGGGAGGCCAAAUUUACAGUGUCAAAUAAACCAUGACUUAGGCGAGAUUUUGUUCAAAAGUAUCAUUGGAAGGGGUUGGAUGGUGGUGGGGUGUGGGGAGACUAUUGUAAUAAAUAGAACACUCUACACAUGAGAUCUGCAGGCAUCUCAAGAGUUAGGCAAAAAGUGGUUUUGUUUUAUAGGAGGAAUAAACAAGGAAGUGAUGUGAGGAAGUGGAUGAAGGGGUCCCAAAAGUGGGUAGUGGAUCAGGGAACAUUCUUCUGGAGGCCAGCCUGUUCUUAGGAGUGAGUGAAGACCAGCUCAGGCUGAUGGUGGGCCAAGGUUCUGGGACCUGGGGAAAGGACAGAAACUUAACCAAAGUUCAAUAAAUAAGAAUUUUGUUUCCAUUAAUUUCAGGGGAAAAAAUAGUUCAGCUAAUCUAUGAGGCAAAGAAUAGGAAUUUGGAAGGCCCAGUCUGGCCUGUCAUAAGUAAACAGGGGCAGGGGUGGGGUGAUAUGGUUAAGCUUUGUGUCCCCACCCAAAUCUCACCUUGAAUUGUAAUCCCCAUAAUCCCCACUUGUCAAGGGAGAGACCAGGUGGAGGAAAUUGAAUCAUGGAUGUGGUUUCUCCCAUGCUGGUCUCGUGAUAAUGAGUGAAUUAUCAUGAGAUCUGAUGGUUUUAUAAGGGGCUCUUCUCCCUUCGUUCAACACUUCUCCUUCCUGCCGCCUUGUGAAGAAGACGCCUUGCUUCCCCUUGGCCUUACACCAUGAUUUUAACAAGACCUUUCAAAAAAAUUUAUCUGAGCUACCUCCUCUCUCUGAAUGGCUUUUUCCCACUUGAGCCUAGCAAUCUUUCCUUAAGUAAAAAAAGAAAGCUGAGAUAUUCAAAAGAGUCCCCAAAGUUAGUGUCUCACCCAGCCUGUUGUUUGUUAGCCAGUUUCCUUCUGGAGGAGGAAGUUAGUUUAAACAUGGCCUACUUUCCUCCCUUCUCCCUUUCAUUGCAGUCCAUAGUUAUUAAAUUAAAUGUGAACUCAGCUGUUUUACUGAAGUGCUUUUGUGGUGUUUAUGAAUAGAAGGGAUUAGCAUUUAUUGGUAAAUCGUUAUGCCCCAAGAACUGUGUUAGGUAGUCCUCAAGCUUUAACGUGCACAGAAUCAUGGAGAGAUCUGGUAACGUGCAAGCUGUGGCUCAGCUGGCUGGGGUGCAACCUGGGUGUCGUUGUUUUGCGGGAGGAUGGGCUCACAGGGCCUGCCCAGGGUCACUGGUCUCAGUCAGCCUCCACUCACAGGUAAGAACUCUGAGACUGGUGAGGGAAAUCACUUUGGCAUAGCUUCACAGCCAGUCGGUAUUUACACCCAGGGCUUCAGGCCACGCGCAAAGCAGCAGCAGGCGUGCCCCGGAUUAAUUAUCAUCUCCUCCUGCCACAACAGCCGUUUAUUUAGAUUUUUUUGUUUAGGACACUGCUGUGGGUUGAACUGUGUCUCCCUAAAAGGUAGGUUGAUGUCUUAACCCCUGGUACUUGUGAACAUGACCUUAUUUGGAAAUAGGGUCUUUUCAGAUAUAAUCGAGUGAAGAUGAGGCCAUACUUGAGUAGGGGGGCCCUUAAUCCAACAUGACAGGUAUCCUGUAAGAAGAGAAAAGGAGACAUGGACACACAUACAGAGGAGAAUGCCGCAUAGCAGAGAUGGGAGCGGUGUGGCUCCAAGUCAUGUCAAGCAUUGCCAGCCACUACCAGAGGCCAGAACGGCCAAGAAGGCGCCUCCCCUGGAACCUGCAGAGAGACCGUGACCCUCUCGGCACCUUGAUUGAGGAUUUCUAGCCUCCAUAACUGCGAGAUAAUACAUCUCUGUUGUUUUAAGCUUCCAAGUUUGACGUGAUUUGUGAUAGCAGCCCUAGGAAAUGGAUAAAAAUACUGAGUAUACUGCCUUGGUUUUCCGUGUUGCUGACUGUGUCUGUCUGCCCUCUAGACUGUCAUCAGGCAAACUCAGUGACUGCUAAAAGCGCAUCUGACCCACACAAGCCCUCAGCCCACCUUGCUGUUUACUUGGCUUUCAGCAGUAGGAGAAAAAAUGAUGUUUAUAUUAUAAAAGUAAAUCAGCUGUAUUGUACUUUACAGCAGAGAAACCCUUUGUUACUCAUAUUUUCAAAUACUUUUUAAGAGAUGUUUAAAGCAUGGAAAGUAUUUUUAGCAUUUAAAGUAUUUGCAUUUUUAAUAAAAAAAUUUCU